rnacentral:rRNA from 1 species
AAUGAACGCUGGCGGCAUGCCUAACACAUGCAAGUCGAACGAGACCUUCGGGUCUGGUGGCGCACGGGUGCGUAACGCGUGGGAAUCUGCCCUUGGGUUCGGAAUAACUCGCCGAAAGGCGUGCUAAUACCGGAUGAUGACGUAAGUCCAAAGAUUUAUCGCCCAAGGAUGAGCCCGCGUAGGAUUAGCUAGUCGGUGGGGUAAAGGCCCACCAAGGCGACGAUCCUUAGCUGGUCUGAGAGGAUGAUCAGCCACACUGGGACUGAGACACGGCCCAGACUCCUACGGGAGGCAGCAGUGGGGAAUAUUGGACAAUGGGCGAAAGCCUGAUCCAGCAAUGCCGCGUGAGUGAUGAAGGCCUUAGGGUUGUAAAGCUCUUUUACCCGGGAUGAUAAUGACAGUACCGGGAGAAUAAGCCCCGGCUAACUCCGUGCCAGCAGCCGCCGUAA